GAUGAAGAACGUAGCGAAAUGCGAAAAGUAGUGUGAAUUGCAGAAUUCCGUGAAUCAUCGAAUCUUUGAACGCACAUUGCGCCCCUCGGUAUUCCGUGGGGCAUGCCUGUUCGAGCGUCAUUUACACCCUCAAGCUCUGCUUGGUGUUGGGCGUCUGUCCCGCUUUAUGCGUGGACUCGCCCCAAAGUCAUUGGCAGCGGUCGUGCCAGCUUCUCGCGCAGCACAUUUGCGUUUCUUGAAGUUUGGUGGAUCAGCAUCCAGUAAGUUCUUUUAUGACUUGACCUCGGAUCAGGUAGGGAUACCCGCUGAACUUAAGCAUAUCAUAAGCGGAGGA
rnacentral:misc_RNA from 1 species